UACGUAGGGUGCGAGCGUUGUCCGGAAUUAUUGGGCGUAAAGAGCUCGUAGGCGGUGUGUCACGUCGUUCGUGAAAACCUGCAGCUUAACUGUGGGCGUGCGGUCGAUACGGGCAUCACUGGAGUUCGGCAGGGGAGACUGGAAUUCCUGGUGUAGCGGUGAAAUGCGCAGAUAUCAGGAGGAACACCGGUGGCGAAGGCGGUUCUCUGGGACGGUACUGACGCUGGAGACGCGAAAGCGUGGGGAGCGAACAGG
rnacentral:rRNA from 1 species